ACGUCUCAUCGUGAAUCAUCGAAUCUUUGAACGCACCUUGCACCGCCGGAGUCUAUCCGACGGUAUGCCUGCCUGAGCAUCAUUUACAUUUAUCCACGACAACCAAGUGGGAGUUGGGGCGUCAGCUGCCUGCCCCGGUGGGCGGCUGUGUCCUUAAAUGCAUGGACGGUCUGGGCGGCCCAGUGAGGAUGUUUGCCUCGGCAAAAUAAUCGCGCGGCCGCUUUUUCUAGCAACUGCUAAAGCAGUUGUUGGAUACAGCAACCGUCCCACUUCAUCUUCAUCUUCAUCUUCCACUUCAUCUUCACGCCGACGACUGGCUUGCCAGUCGCCAGCAAAGAAGAAGAAGACAGAACAGACAAAUGUGAUCUCAGGUCAGCAAGACGACCCGCCGAACUUAAGCAUAUCAAUAAGCGGAGG
rnacentral:rRNA from 1 species